AAGAGCCGUGUGAGAUGAAAGUCUCAUGCAUGGUUUUGAAUGAGAGAAAGAAGUGAUGAAUCAUGGAAAGAAAGAAAUAAAAUUACCACAAUUUUAGGUAUUCACUUAAU
rnacentral:ncRNA from 1 species